rnacentral:rRNA from 1 species
GAUGAACGCUAGCUACAGGCUUAACACAUGCAAGUCGAGGGGUAACAAGAGAAAAGCUUGCUUUUCUUGUUGACGACCGGCGCACGGGUGAGUAACGCGUAUCCAACCUGCCUAUAACUAGGGAAUAACCUUGCGAAAGUAAGACUAAUACCCUAUGAUUUCCUUUGAUGACAUCCGAUUAGGCAUAAAGAUUUAUCGGUUAUAGAUGGGGAUGCGUCUGAUUAGCUUGUUGGCGGGGUAACGGCCCACUAAGGCAACGAUCAGUAGGGGUUCUGAGAGGAAGGUCCCCCACAUUGGAACUGAGACACGGUCCAAACUCCUACGGGAGGCAGCAGUGAGGAAUAUUGGUCAAUGGGCGGAAGCCUGAACCAGCCAAGUAGCGUGCAGGAUGACGGCCCUAUGGGUUGUAAACUGCUUUUAUACAGGAAUAAAGUUAGCCACGUGUGGUUAUUUGUAGGUACUGUAUGAAUAAGGACCGGCUAAUUCCGUGCCAGCAGCCGCAGUAA